rnacentral:rRNA from 1 species
AUGGGUGGCAAGAGGAAGAACGCGGUGGACGGCAAGACGCCGCUGUCGAAGGGCCGGCCGGGCCGCAAGUCGGUGGCGGCGCCCAGUCCAGCUGCUGUAGAUGCGCCGGCGCUGGCGGCGUCCGGCGCGAAGGUGCUAGCCGGCGGCGCUGUCGCGGUAGCGGGGCCGGAGGGGGAGGUGGUGAAGCUGCUGGACUCCGACGUGCCCAAGGCGGUCCUCCGCUGCGACGAGUGCCAUGGCCCUCUGAAGCCCCCCGUUUACCAGUGCUCACGUAUGCAUCACGUCGCGUGCGGCGACUGCGGCGGCGAGUGCCGUCCUUGCGCGGGCUUGGCCGCGUCCGCCGUCGUCUACGUCCAGAACGCCUACCUGGACACCCUGUUCGGCUACACGAAGGUGGCGUGCCCAUACAAGAAGCACGGCUGCGCGAGCUCGGUGGCCUACCGCGACGCCGCGGCGCACGCGGCUGCUUGCGCGUGCGCGCCCUGCUCGUGCCCGGAGUGCCUUUUCGAGGGCUCGCCGGCGGACCUCGUGCGCCACCUCACCGAGGAGUCCGGCCGGCACGCCUGGGGCGCCCGCAAGAUCACCUACGGCACGGACCACCGGUAUGUCUUUGACGAGCUGGAUUCGGAGGAGAUUUGCGAGGAGCUCUUGGUCGCGGAGGAGGACGACGGCGUGUUCCUCUUGCACAUUCACCGUGUCGAACUCUACCACCACGUCGCCCUUGCGUGUGUCAGGAAUAAAGCCGCCGCCGGGCCGGUGUACAGCUCCUCCGUCGCAGUGGAGGGCCCUCCGGCCAAGGGGCUCGUUGUGAAGCUGGAGACGAAGGUGGUGGCGAGCUGCCCGGUGCCCACUGAACUGGUGUACGACGACUAUGAGGCUCUCCCUGUGCUUCCGAGGAUGCUGCAUGAGCGAGACGAGAGCAGGGAGCUCCAUGUGCGCGUCUGCAUCAGCAAGACCCAGAGCAUCAGCGAGUGA